rnacentral:rRNA from 1 species
AGAACGAACGCUGGCGGCAGGCCUAACACAUGCAAGUCGAACGCCCCCGCAAGGGGAGUGGCAGACGGGUGAGUAACGCGUGGGAACAUACCUUUCGGUUCGGAAUAGCUCAGGGAAACUUGAAUUAAUACCGGAUACGUCCGCAAGGAGAAAGAUUUAUCGCCGAAAGAUUGGCCCGCGUCCGAUUAGCUAGUUGGUGGGGUAAAAGCCUACCAAGGCGACGAUCGGUAGCUGGUCUGAGAGGAUGAUCAGCCACACUGGGACUGAGACACGGCCCAGACUCCUACGGGAGGCAGCAGUGGGGAAUCUUGCGCAAUGGCGAAAGCCUGACGCAGCAACGCCGCGUGGGGAUGAAGGCCUUCGGGUUGUAAACCCCUUUCAGCAGGGACGAAGCGCAAGUGACGGUACCUGCAGAAGAAGCGCCGGCUAACUACGUGCCAGCAGCCGC